rnacentral:rRNA from 1 species
UACGUAGGGUGCGAGCGUUGUCCGGAAUUAUUGGGCGUAAAGAGCUCGUAGGCGGUGUGUCGCGUCGGCCGUGAAAACCUGGGGCUUAACUCUGGGCGUGCGGUCGAUACGGGCAUCACUAGAGUUCGGCAGGGGAGACUGGAAUUCCUGGUGUAGCGGUGAAAUGCGCAGAUAUCAGGAGGAACACCGGUGGCGAAGGCGGGUCUCUGGGCCGAUACUGACGCUGAGGAGCGAAAGCCAGGGGAGCAAACGGG